rnacentral:rRNA from 1 species
UGGGGAAUAUUGCACAAUGGGCGCAAGCCUGAUGCAGCCAUGCCGCGUGUGUGAAGAAGGCCUUCGGGUUGUAAAGCACUUUCAGCGGGGAGGAAGGCGAUAAGGUUAAUAACCUUGUCGAUUGACGUUACCCGCAGAAGAAGCACCGGCUAACUCCGUGCCAGCAGCCGCGGUAAUACGGAGGGUGCAAGCGUUAAUCGGAAUUACUGGGCGUAAAGCGCACGCAGGCGGUCUGUCAAGUCGGAUGUGAAAUCCCCGGGCUCAACCUGGGAAUUGCAUCUGAUACUGGCAAGCUUGAGUCUCGUAGAGGGGGGUAGAAUUCCAGGUGUAGCGGUGAAAUGCGUAGAGAUCUGGAGGAAUACCGGUGGCGAAGGCGGCCCCCUGGACGAAGACUGACGCUCAGGUGCGAAAGCGUGGGGAGCAAACAGG